rnacentral:rRNA from 1 species
CUACGGGGCGCUGCAGUGGGGAAUAUUGCACAAUGGGGGAAACCCUGAUGCAGCAACGCCGCGUGGAGGAUGACACAUUUCGGUGCGUAAACUCCUUUUAUAGGUCAAGAUAAUGACGGUAGCCUAUGAAUAAGCGCCGGCUAACUCCGUGCCAGCAGCCGCGGUAAUACGGAGGGCGCAAGCGUUACUCGGAAUCACUGGGCGUAAAGAGCAUGUAGGCGGGUUAAUAAGUCAGAAGUGAAAUCCAAUAGCUCAACUAUUGAACUGCUUUUGAAACUGUUAACCUAGAGUGUGGGAGAGGUAGAUGGAAUUUCUGGUGUAGGGGUAAAAUCCGUAGAGAUCAGAAGGAAUACCGAUUGCGAAGGCGAUCUACUGGAACAUUACUGACGCUGAGAUGCGAAAGCGUGGGAGCAAACAGGAUUAGAUACCCCGGUAGUC